AUUGAACGCUGGCGGCAGGCCUAACACAUGCAAGUCGAGCGGAUGAACGGAGCUUGCUCCUGGAUUCAGCGGCGGACGGGUGGGUAAUGCCCAGGAAUCUGCCUGGUAGUGGGGGAUAACGUCCGGAAACGGGCGCGAAUACCGCAUACGUCCUGAUGGAGAAAGGGGGGGAUCUUCGGACCUCACGCUAUCAGAUGAGCCUAGGUCGGAUUAGCUAGCUGGUGGGGUAAAGGCGUACCAAGGCGACGAUCCGUAACUGGUCUGAGAGGAUGAUCAGUCACACUGGAACUGAGACACGGUCCAGACUCCUACGGGAGGCAGCAGUGGGGAAUAUUGGACAAUGGGCGAAAGCCUGAUCCAGCCAUGCCGCGUGUGUGAAGAAGGUCUUCGGAUUGUAAAGCACUUUAAGUUGGGAGGAAGGGCAGUAAGUUAAUACCUUGCUGUUUUGACGUUACCAACAGAAUAAGCACCGGCUAACUUCGUG
rnacentral:rRNA from 1 species